AGCAAAAUCUUCUUGUAGAAAUGGCAGUGGGUGGCCACUGUCCACCAUGAAAGAACCUUACUCUGCUGGAAAGGCUCAACCCAUUCUAGUUAUGUCAAACUCAACCUGCUCUUCCUCCUCCUCUAGCAAGCUUGAAGGUGAGCACCUCGAAGGGCUUCUUUUUAUGUUGAAAGGCACGGGUUUGCAUGGCGGUUCAUCAGAGGUCAAUACCCCAGUUUGAGAAAGUCCACUGUGGGGAGGAAAGAGAGACUUAAACAAGCCCUGGAAAAACAAAGAAUGGAACACCCCUCCGCUGACUUCAACCAACUGCCUGCUGAUGCGGCCUGACUCCCAGCCCUUUUUGCAGUUUUGAAGUGACAAACUGACUAGGCUACAAAGUAUUCAACCAUGGGCUGGUUCUGGCUGGUUCACCGAGGCUGUGUACAAAGUGUCUUCAUGUCCUGUGUUUCACCUUUUAACAUACAGAACCUAAUUUUACUGCAUUUUAAUGUUAAUUCUCCACUCGAAGGUGAACAUGGGAUGUAUGUAACACAUAUGUUUGCUUAUCAAGCACACAUAUGACCCCCUUUCAUGAAUAUUCAUAGUUCCCCCUGUGACCUGUUGAAUAUGUCUGUUUAGCCAACCUGUUUGGCAUAAAACUCCUAUCCCACCCUAUCUCCCUCAAAGUACCUGUUUGUG
rnacentral:lncRNA from 10 species